AGAAGGCGGACGCGGGCACCUGUUCUCGCCGGUCGCGUAUCGCGCAUUGCUGUUGGUACGUAUUAUUAUUAUUCAUCAUCAUCAUCAUCAUCGUCGUCGUCGUCGUCAUCAUCGUCGUAGUCGACGUCGACUCGGAGGAGUCGUACAGGACGUCUAUCGUAUAAUAUUAUACACCAAGCUCACUCCAACGACGACGGUCGCGAGCGGCUUUCACAACCGCUGCAACAACGCACACACGCGCACGCACCCGCCAACCAUCGACGUUUCGCGUUUCGCGUUUUUGUGUUUUUGUGUUUUCUCCGCCGCCGUGCGUGUUUCUCUUUUCCCGUGUCAGUACAGUCACCGAAUCCGUCGGAAUCUCUCGCGUUGUACCUACGCCACCUGCAGUACGUUCAUAUUGGCCAUAAUAUUAUUACUAUCGUCUUCGUCGUCGAUCAUUUGUAGGCAGUCGUUGUGGAAAUUUCUUGGACCGAAAAGACCUAAGAGGAUCAUCGCACAUCAUCAUCGGCGUCAACGGCGUAACGACGACAACAGAUUGGCACUGUACUACACCAGUGGACAAAAAAAA